UACGUAGGGUCCGAGCGUUGUCCGGAAUUAUUGGGCGUAAAGAGCUUGUAGGCGGUUUGUCGCGUCUGCUGUGAAAAUCCGGGGCUCAACCCCGGACUUGCAGUGGGUACGGGCAGACUGGAGUGUGGUAGGGGAGACUGGAAUUCCUGGUGUAGCGGUGGAAUGCGCAGAUAUCAGGAGGAACACCGAUGGCGAAGGCAGGGCUCUGGGCCACUACUGACGCUGAGAAGCGAAAGCAUGGGGAGCGAACAGG
rnacentral:rRNA from 1 species